rnacentral:rRNA from 1 species
UUCACGGAGAGUUUGAUCCUGGCUCAGGACGAACGCUGGCGGCGUGCUUAACACAUGCAAGUCGAACGAUGAACCUCCUUCGGGAGGGGAUUAGUGGCGAACGGGUGAGUAACACGUGGGCAAUCUGCCCUUCACUCUGGGACAAGCCCUGGAAACGGGGUCUAAUACCGGAUACGAGCCUCCAAGGCAUCUUGGAGGUUGGAAAGCUCCGGCGGUGAAGGAUGAGCCCGCGGCCUAUCAGCUUGUUGGUGAGGUAACGGCUCACCAAGGCGACGACGGGUAGCCGGCCUGAGAGGGCGACCGGCCACACUGGGACUGAGACACGGCCCAGACUCCUACGGGAGGCAGCAGUGGGGAAUAUUGCACAAUGGGCGAAAGCCUGAUGCAGCGACGCCGCGUGAGGGAUGACGGCCUUCGGGUUGUAAACCUCUUUCAGCAGGGAAGAAGCGAGAGUGACGGUACCUGCAGAAGAAGCGCCGGCUAACUACGUGCCAGCAGCCGCGGUAAUACGUAGGGCGCAAGCGUUGUCCGGAAUUAUUGGGCGUAAAGAGCUCGUAGGCGGCUUGUCACGUCGG